GGGUUGUGAGGUUAAGCGACUAAGCGUACACGGUGGAUGCCCUGGCAGUCAGAGGCGAUGAAGGACGUGCUAAUCUGCGAUAAGCGUCGGUAAGGUGAUAUGAACCGUUAUAACCGGCGAUUUCCGAAUGGGGAAACCCAGUGUGUUUCGACACACUAUCAUUAACUGAAUCCAUAGGUUAAUGAGGCGAACCGGGGGAACUGAAACAUCUAAGUACCCCGAGGAAAAGAAAUCAACCGAGAUUCCCCCAGUAGCGGCGAGCGAACGGGGAGCAGCCCAGAGCCUGAAUCAGUGUGUGUGUUAGUGGAAGCGUCUGGAAAGGCGCGCGAUACAGGGUGACAGCCCCGUACACAAAAAUGCACAUGCUGUGAGCUCGAUGAGUAGGGCGGGACACGUGGUAUCCUGUCUGAAUAUGGGGGGACCAUCCUCCAAGGCUAAAUACUCCUGACUGACCGAUAGUGAACCAGUACCGUGAGGGAAAGGCGAAAAGAACCCCGGCGAGGGGAGUGAAAAAGAACCUGAAACCGUGUACGUACAAGCAGUGGGAGCCUCUUUUAUGGGGUGACUGCGUACCUUUUGUAUAAUGGGUCAGCGACUUAUAUUCUGUAGCAAGGUUAACCGAAUAGGGGAGCCGAAGGGAAACCGAGUCUUAACUGGGCGUUAAGUUGCAGGGUAUAGACCCGAAACCCGGUGAUCUAGCCAUGGGCAGGUUGAAGGUUGGGUAACACUAACUGGAGGACCGAACCGACUAAUGUUGAAAAAUUAGCGGAUGACUUGUGGCUGGGGGUGAAAGGCCAAUCAAACCGGGAGAUAGCUGGUUCUCCCCGAAAGCUAUUUAGGUAGCGCCUCGUGAAUUCAUCUCCGGGGGUAGAGCACUGUUUCGGCAAGGGGGUCAUCCCGACUUACCAACCCGAUGCAAACUGCGAAUACCGGAGAAUGUUAUCACGGGAGACACACGGCGGGUGCUAACGUCCGUCGUGAAGAGGGAAACAACCCAGACCGCCAGCUAAGGUCCCAAAGUCAUGGUUAAGUGGGAAACGAUGUGGGAAGGCCCAGACAGCCAGGAUGUUGGCUUAGAAGCAGCCAUCAUUUAAAGAAAGCGUAAUAGCUCACUGGUCGAGUCGGCCUGCGCGGAAGAUGUAACGGGGCUAAACCAUGCACCGAAGCUGCGGCAGCGACGCUUAUGCGUUGUUGGGUAGGGGAGCGUUCUGUAAGCCUGCGAAGGUGUGCUGUGAGGCAUGCUGGAGGUAUCAGAAGUGCGAAUGCUGACAUAAGUAACGAUAAAGCGGGUGAAAAGCCCGCUCGCCGGAAGACCAAGGGUUCCUGUCCAACGUUAAUCGGGGCAGGGUGAGUCGACCCCUAAGGCGAGGCCGAAAGGCGUAGUCGAUGGGAAACAGGUUAAUAUUCCUGUACUUGGUGUUACUGCGAAGGGGGGACGGAGAAGGCUAUGUUGGCCGGGCGACGGUUGUCCCGGUUUAAGCGUGUAGGCUGGUUUUCCAGGCAAAUCCGGAAAAUCAAGGCUGAGGCGUGAUGACGAGGCACUACGGUGCUGAAGCAACAAAUGCCCUGCUUCCAGGAAAAGCCUCUAAGCAUCAGGUAACAUCAAAUCGUACCCCAAACCGACACAGGUGGUCAGGUAGAGAAUACCAAGGCGCUUGAGAGAACUCGGGUGAAGGAACUAGGCAAAAUGGUGCCGUAACUUCGGGAGAAGGCACGCUGAUAUGUAGGUGAAGUCCCUCGCGGAUGGAGCUGAAAUCAGUCGAAGAUACCAGCUGGCUGCAACUGUUUAUUAAAAACACAGCACUGUGCAAACACGAAAGUGGACGUAUACGGUGUGACGCCUGCCCGGUGCCGGAAGGUUAAUUGAUGGGGUUAGCGCAAGCGAAGCUCUUGAUCGAAGCCCCGGUAAACGGCGGCCGUAACUAUAACGGUCCUAAGGUAGCGAAAUUCCUUGUCGGGUAAGUUCCGACCUGCACGAAUGGCGUAAUGAUGGCCAGGCUGUCUCCACCCGAGACUCAGUGAAAUUGAACUCGCUGUGAAGAUGCAGUGUACCCGCGGCAAGACGGAAAGACCCCGUGAACCUUUACUAUAGCUUGACACUGAACAUUGAGCCUUGAUGUGUAGGAUAGGUGGGAGGCUUUGAAGUGUGGACGCCAGUCUGCAUGGAGCCGACCUUGAAAUACCACCCUUUAAUGUUUGAUGUUCUAACGUGGACCCGUGAUCCGGGUUGCGGACAGUGUCUGGUGGGUAGUUUGACUGGGGCGGUCUCCUCCUAAAGAGUAACGGAGGAGCACGAAGGUUGGCUAAUCCUGGUCGGACAUCAGGAGGUUAGUGCAAUGGCAUAAGCCAGCUUGACUGCGAGCGUGACGGCGCGAGCAGGUGCGAAAGCAGGUCAUAGUGAUCCGGUGGUUCUGAAUGGAAGGGCCAUCGCUCAACGGAUAAAAGGUACUCCGGGGAUAACAGGCUGAUACCGCCCAAGAGUUCAUAUCGACGGCGGUGUUUGGCACCUCGAUGUCGGCUCAUCACAUCCUGGGGCUGAAGUAGGUCCCAAGGGUAUGGCUGUUCGCCAUUUAAAGUGGUACGCGAGCUGGGUUUAGAACGUCGUGAGACAGUUCGGUCCCUAUCUGCCGUGGGCGCUGGAGAACUGAGGGGGGCUGCUCCUAGUACGAGAGGACCGGAGUGGACGCAUCACUGGUGUUCGGGUUGUCAUGCCAAUGGCACUGCCCGGUAGCUAAAUGCGGAAGAGAUAAGUGCUGAAAGCAUCUAAGCACGAAACUUGCCCCGAGAUGAGUUCUCCCUGACCCUUUAAGGGUCCUGAAGGAACGUUGAAGACGACGACGUUGAUAGGCCGGU
rnacentral:rRNA from 1 species